GAUGAACGCUGGCGGCGUGCUUAACACAUGCAAGUCGAACGAAGCAUUUAAGACAGAUUACUUCGGUUUGAAGUCUUUUAUGACUGAGUGGCGGACGGGUGAGUAACGCGUGGGUAACCUGCCUCAUACAGGGGGAUAGCAGCUGGAAACGGCUGGUAAUACCGCAUAAGCGCACAGUACCACAUGGUACAGUGUGAAAAACUCCGGUGGUAUGAGAUGGACCCGCGUCUGAUUAGCUUGUUGGCGGGGUAACGGCCCACCAAGGCGACGAUCAGUAGCCGACCUGAGAGGGUGACCGGCCACAUUGGGACUGAGACACGGCCCAGACUCCUACGGGAGGCAGCAGUGGGGAAUAUUGCACAAUGGAGGAAACUCUGAUGCAGCGACGCCGCGUGAGUGAAGAAGUAGUUCGCUAUGUAAAGCUCUAUCUGCAGGGAAGAUAGUGACGGUACCUGACUAAGAAGCUCCGGCUAAAUACGUG
rnacentral:rRNA from 1 species